rnacentral:rRNA from 1 species
GAACAUAAGAGUUUGAUCCUGGCUCAGAUUGAACGCUGGCGGCAUGCUUUACACAUGCAAGUCGGACGGCAGCACAGGGAAGCUUGCUUCUCGGGUGGCGAGUGGCGAACGGGUGAGUAACAUAUCGGAACGUACCGGGUAGCGGGGGAUAACUGAUCGAAAGAUCAGCUAAUACCGCAUACGUCUUGAGAGGGAAAGCAGGGGACCUUCGGGCCUUGCGCUAUCCGAGCGGCCGAUAUCUGAUUAGCUGGUUGGCGGGGUAAAGCCCACCAAGGCGACGAUCAGUAGCGGGUCUGAGAGGAUGAUCCGCCACACUGGGACUGAGACACGGCCCAGACUCCUACGGGAGGCAGCAGUGGGGAAUUUUGGACAAUGGGCGCAAGCCUGAUCCAGCCAUGCCGCGUGUCUGAAGAAGGCCUUCGGGUUGUAAAGGACUUUUGUCAGGGAAGAAAAGGCCGUUGCCAAUAUCGGCGGCCGAUGACGGUACCUGAAGAAUAAGCACCGGCUAACUACGUGCCAGCAGCCGCGGUAAUACGUAGGGUGCGAGCGUUAAUCGGAAUUACUGGGCGUAAAGCGGGCGCAGACGGUUACUUAAGCAGGAUGUGAAAUCCCCGGGCUCAACCCGGGAACUGCGUUCUGAACUGGGUGACUCGAGUGUGUCAGAGGGAGGUGGAAUUCCACGUGUAGCAGUGAAAUGCGUAGAGAUGUGGGGGAAUACCGAUGGCGAAGGCAGCCUCCUGGGAUAACACUGACGUUCAUGUCCGAAAGCGUGGGUAGCAAACAGGAUUAGAUACCCUGGUAGUCCACGCCCUAAACGAUGUCAAUUAGCUGUUGGGCAACUUGAUUGCUUGGUAGCGUAGCUAACGCGUGAAAUUGACCGCCUGGGGAGUACGGUCGCAAGAUUAAAACUCAAAGGAAUUGACGGGGACCCGCACAAGCGGUGGAUGAUGUGGAUUAAUUCGAUGCAACGCGAAGAACCUUACCUGGUUUUGACAUGUGCGGAAUCCUCCGGAGACGGAGGAGUGCCUUCGGGAGCCGUAACACAGGUGCUGCAUGGCUGUCGUCAGCUCGUGUCGUGAGAUGUUGGGUUAAGUCCCGCAACGAGCGCAACCCUUGUCAUUAGUUGCCAUCAUUCGGUUGGGCACUCUAAUGAGACUGCCGGUGACAAGCCGGAGGAAGGUGGGGAUGACGUCAAGUCCUCAUGGCCCUUAUGACCAGGGCUUCACACGUCAUACAAUGGUCGGUACAGAGGGUAGCCAAGCCGCGAGGCGGAGCCAAUCUCACAAAACCGAUCGUAGUCCGGAUUGCACUCUGCAACUCGAGUGCAUGAAGUCGGAAUCGCUAGUAAUCGCAGGUCAGCAUACUGCGGUGAAUACGUUCCCGGGUCUUGUACACACCGCCCGUCACACCAUGGGAGUGGGGGAUACCAGAAGUAGGUAGGGUAACCGCAAGGAGUCCGCUUACCACGGUAUGCUUCAUGACUGGGGUGAAGUCGUAACAAGGUAGCCGUAGGGGAACCUGCGGCUGGAUCACCUCCUUU